rnacentral:rRNA from 1 species
AUUGAACGCUGGCGGCAGGCCUAACACAUGCAAGUCGAGCGAGCGGCGGACGGGUGUGUAAUGUAUGGGGACUGCCCGAUAGAGGGGGGUAACUACAGGAAACGGUAGCUAAUACCGCAUACUAUCGGAUAACCCAUAUGGGAUUAGCUAGUUGUGGAGGUAAUGGCUCACGCAGGCGACGAUCCCUAGCUGGGCUGAGAGGAUGAUCAGCCAAACUGGGAUUGAGACACGGCCCAGAAUCCUACGGAGGCAGCAGUGGGGAAUAUUGCACAAUGGGAGCAAGCCUGAUGCAGCCAUGCCGCGUGUAUGAAGAAGGCCCUAGGGUUGUAAAGUACUUUCAGUCGGGAGGCGUUACCGACAGAAGAAGCACCGGCUAACUCCGUGCCAGCAGCCGCGGUAAUAC